GCCAAUGACAAAGCCAAGGCUUCCUUGAUACCCACCUGCAGGAGGCAAGCAGAGAGCCAACUCUUCCCUUUUUCUGGGUUUUCAAGCCCUUCGAGAUAGGAAUUGCUAUUAUCCCCAUUUUACGGAGUUAGGCAAGUCCCCCAAAGUCACAGAGCUGACAAGAGGUGGAGCUGGGAUUUGAACCGAGGCAUCUGCCUGCCGUAUCUGGUGAGUAAACAGGGGUGACCAGGGCACGGAGGCUCAGGGGAGUGGGGAUAAGAGUCAGGGGACUGGAGAGACUUGUUAAGACCUCGACGUUGCGCUACAUUAUCUCUGCAGCCUGGUCUCGAAUGGCAUCCGACCCAGGCCAAUGUCGUUGAUGAAUCCACUGAGGGUGACCCCACUCAGGCAUGGGAGCGUGCAAGGCCACUCAAGAGUCCAACGACCCCAGCCCUGCACUUCCUCUGCACCAUCUGCCUAAAGGAUGCGAGGCGCUGCUGCUAAUGACUACUGACACACCUCACCCCCGAGCUGGGAAUGCGGCCCAGGCCACUCCUCACAGAUGGAUGGACUGACAGCCAGAAGACCAGGACACCAGAGGUUCUUCAUGCAAGCGGUGCUUUCCCACUCUCCCACAGCCCAUCGCCACAGGGGACUGGGUUGCAGCUCAGAGCAAGUGAGAAGCUGUGUGUGCCCUGCCACCCAGGAAGAAGUCG